GCGGGACGAUGCGGACGAGGAUGAACCGGGGGCAGCGACCGGAGCGGGGCCGGGGGGAGCCGGGACCACCCAGAAAGGCAUCCAGGAGAAAGUGUGUCCUCGCCGACCACCACACCUGAGAGUAGCCCGUGCUGGGCCCGAAGUGACAAUGGCGGCCGAAGGGCUGUGGGGGCCGGGCGGCCCCCCCGGCUGGGAGCUGGAGGGGUGGUACCAGGACCUGCAGGAGGUGCUGGCGGCGGAGCCCCCCGGAACCGCCCCCCCCUGGGGGCCUGAGCAGGUGGAGCCGGGCCCGGGGGGCUGCGGGCUGGACCUGGCUCUGGCCGAGGAGCUGCUGGCGCUGCUGGGACCGGAGGGAGCGGCUCCAGCGGAAC